GACGAACGCUGGCGGCGUGCCUAAUACAUGCAAGUGGAACGCUGACUACUUUAGCUUGCUAGAGUAGAAGGAGUUGCGAACGGGUGAGUAACGCGUAGGUAACCUGCCUACUAGCGGGGGAUAACUAUUGGAAACGAUAGCUAAUACCGCAUAACAGUGUUUAACACAUGUUAGAUGCUUGAAAGAUGCAAUUGCAUCACUAGUAGAUGGACCUGCGUUGUAUUAGCUAGUCGGUGGGGUAACGGCCCACCAAGGCGACGAUACAUAGCCGACCUGAGAGGGUGAUCGGCCACACUGGGACUGAGACACGGCCCAGACUCCUACGGGAGGCAGCAGUAGGGAAUCUUCGGCAAUGGGGGCAACCCUGACCGAGCAACGCCGCGUGAGUGAAGAAGGUUUUCGGAUCGUAAAGCUCUGUUGUAAGAGAAGAACGUGUGUGAGAGUGGAAAGUUCACACAGUGACGGUAACUUACUAGAAAGGGACGGCUAACUACGUGCCAGCAGCCGCUGUAA
rnacentral:rRNA from 1 species